rnacentral:rRNA from 1 species
GACGAACGCUGGCGGCGUGCUUAACACAUGCAAGUCGAACGGAAAGGCCCUGCUUUUGUGGGGUGCUCGAGUGGCGAACGGGUGAGUAACACGUGAGUAACCUGCCCUUGACUUUGGGAUAACUUCAGGAAACUGGGGCUAAUACCGGAUAGGAGCUCCUGCUUCAUGGUGGGGGUUGGAAAGUUUCGGCGGUUGGGGAUGGACUCGCGGCUUAUCAGCUUGUUGGUGGGGUAGUGGCUUACCAAGGCUUUGACGGGUAGCCGGCCUGAGAGGGUGACCGGCCACAUUGGGACUGAGAUACGGCCCAGACUCCUACGGGAGGCAGCAGUGGGGAAUAUUGCACAAUGGGCGGAAGCCUGAUGCAGCAACGCCGCGUGCGGGAUGACGGCCUUCGGGUUGUAAACCGCUUUCGCCUGUGACGAAGCGUGAGUGGCGGUAAUGGGUAAAGAAGCACCGGCUAACUACGUG